rnacentral:rRNA from 1 species
UACGGAGGGUGCAAGCAUUAAUCGGAUUUAUUGGGCGUAAAGGGCGCGUAGGCGGUCAAGAAAGUCGUAUGUGAAAUUCCGGGGCUCAACCUCGGAGCUGCAUAGGAAACUUCUUGUCUAGAGGGUAGGCGGAGAAAAUGGAAUUCCACAAGUAGCGGUGAAAUGCGUAGAUAUGUGGAAGAACACCAGUGGCGAAGGCGGUUUUCUAGCUUAUACCUGACGCUGAGGCGCGAAAGCAAGGGGAG